rnacentral:snRNA from 1 species
GGAUGUAAGGGCGAUCUGGCUGUGACUUCUGUCGUCCCAUUGAUCGCCAGGUUGAUUCAGCUAAUCUGGCUGGUUAGGCAGGUCCCCUUCUUCCCUCAGUGUUCCAUGUGUGUCCCACCUGAAGCUGCACGCUCAAAGAGGACAACCAGCCCCAACAGAGGGGGGCUGUUCAUCUGUCAGGGGUACCCGAGUAGCUGCACUUCCCUGCUAGCACCUCCAGACAAGCUCUCAAAAAUUAAGUGCUUGAUUGAAUUUGGUUUAUUGUUUGGCUUUAAUAUUUUUAAAGUAUCUGUUGAAAGGGUUUUUUUA